rnacentral:rRNA from 1 species
GACGAACGCUGGCGGCGCGCUUAACACAUGCAAGUCGAACGGAAAGGCCUGCUUUCCCUUGUGGAUUGCGGGUACUCGAGUGGCGAACGGGUGAGUAACACGUGAGUGAUCUGCCCCCAACUUGGGUAUAAGCCUGGGAAACUGGGUCUAAUUCCCGAUAGGACUGCAGGGUGGUGCCUGUGGUGGAAAACGAUUUUCUAGUGGUUGGGGAUGAGCUCGCGGCCUAUCAGCUUGUUGGUGGGGUAAUGGCCUACCAAGGCGGCGACGGGUAGCCGGCCUGGGAGGGUGGACGGGCACAUUGGGACUGAGAUACGGCCCAGACUCCUACGGGAGGCAGCAGUGGGGAAUAGUGCACAAUGGGCGGAAGCCUGAUGCAGCGACGCCGCGUGGGGGAUGACGGCCUUCGGGUUGUAAACUCCUUUCGACCGCGAGGAAGCCACCUGGUUGGAAGGGUGGUGACGGUAGUGGUAGAAGAAGCACCGGCUAACUACGUG